rnacentral:rRNA from 1 species
UACGGAGGGGGCUAGCGUUGUUCGGAAUUACUGGGCGUAAAGCGCACGUAGGCGGCUUUGUAAGUUAGAGGUGAAAGCCCGGAGCUCAACUCCGGAAUUGCCUUUAAGACUGCAUCGCUAGAAUUGUGGAGAGGUAAGUGGAAUUCCGAGUGUAGAGGUGAAAUUCGUAGAUAUUCGGAAGAACACCAGUGGCGAAGGCGACUUACUUGGGACACAUAUUUGACGCUGAGGUGCGAAAAGCGUGGGGGAGCAAACAGG